UACGGAGGAUGCGAGCGUUAUCCGGAUUUAUUGGGUUUAAAGGGUGCGUAGGCGGGCUUUUAAGUCAGCGGUAAAAAUUCGGGGCUCAACCCCGUCCGGCCGUUGAAACCGGAGCGCUAGAAUUCCGAUGCCGUCGGAGGAAUGUGUGGUGUAGCGGUGAAAUGCAUAGAUAUCACGCAGAACUCCGAUUGCGAAGGCAGCAUACCGGCGCCCGACUGACGCUGAAGCACGAAAGCCAGGGUAGCAAAUGGG
rnacentral:rRNA from 1 species